rnacentral:rRNA from 1 species
GAUGAACGCUGGCGGCGUGCCUAAUACAUGCAAGUCGAGCGAACGGACGAGAAGCUUGCUUCUCUGAUGUUAGCGGCGGACGGGUAAGUAACACGUGGAUAACCUACCUAUAAGACUGGGAUAACUUCGGGAAACCGGAGCUAAUACCGGAUAAUAUUUUGAACCGCAUGGUUCAAAAGUGAAAGACGGUCUUGCUGUCACUUAUAGAUGGAUCCGCGCUGCAUUAGCUAGUUGGUAAGGUAACGGCUUACCAAGGCAACGAUGCAUAGCCGACCUGAGAGGGUGAUAGGCCACACUGGAACUGAGACACGGUCCAGACUCCUACGGGAGGCAGCAGUAGGGAAUCUUCCGCAAUGGGCGAAAGCCUGACGGAGCAACGCCGCGUGAGUGAUGAAGGUCUUCGGAUCGUAAAACUCUGUUAUUAGGGAAGAACAUAUGUGUAAGUAACUGUGCACAUCUUGACGGUACCUAAUCAGAAAGCCACGGCUAACUACGUG